rnacentral:rRNA from 1 species
GGUGAACGCUGGCGGCGUGCCUAAUACAUGCAAGUCGAGCGAACGGACGAGAAGCUUGCUUCUCUGAUGUUAGCGGCUGACGGGUGAGUAACACGUGGAUCACCUACCUAUAAUACUUGGAUAACUUCGGGAAACCGGAUCUAAUACCGGAUAAUAUUUUGAACCGCAUGGUUCAAAAGUUAAAGACGGUCUUGCUGUCACUUAUAGAUGGAUCCGCGCUGCAUUAGCUAGUUGGUAAGGUAACGGCUUACCAAGGCAACGAUGCGUAGCCGACCUGAGAGGGUGAUCGGCCACACUGGAACUGAGACACGGUCCAGACUCCUACGGGAGGCAGCAGUAGGGAAUCUUCCGCAAUGGGCGAAAGCCUGACGGAGCAACGCCGCGUGAGUGAUGAAGGUCUUCGGAUCGUAAAACUCUGUUAUUAGGGAAGAACAUAUGUGUAAGUAACUGUGCACAUCUUGACGGUACCUAAUCAGAAAGCCACGGCUAACUACGUG